CAGAUACCGAUGCCAACACUUUCCUCUUUUACAGUAUACCACAAAUGCAAAACUGCAAUCAAGAUUCCACAUUCAUUGAAGAUGAGUAGAUGAGCACAGAUGUCAAUUUAUGACUGGGAAACGUAACAAAUUUUAUUUGCAUAACAAAAUUUCAACUUGCUUUAUCAUUUAAGUGGAGAGCAUGAGUCUAGAGAGCUACUGGGUCUCUGUAUAUCUUUACUUGUGACUUUGGCUGGUAAAAAAAUUACUUAAUUUUCACAUAGUUUACAGCCCCAGUGACACAUCAAGGUCUUCGCUACUGUGGUGUAGCACCUUCCAUCAACAUAUCAGCCAAUCAUAUCAGCUGUAUUCACAGCUUAUUAGCCAGUACCGACAAGUUUGCUUUAUGCUCUUAUCGCCAAUACUGAUACGACCCCGAUAUUAUUGUGACAUCUGUAUUUAGUAUUGUUUUGAGUGUCCUUUUUUUUAUUAUAUCUGAAUUCAUUCUGAUAGUUUCUUUAGAAAGCAAUGUGCGCACAACUGACAUCGUUCAAUAACGUUCUGUGACUUGUGUCCAUGCGUUUUUCCCCAGGGGCAUUUGAUGGAGUAAGUGCAUCAAACAACUGAGCAUUUCGCAUAAUGAAGACGGCUCGUGCAGUGUGAGAGUCUCGCUGGCCUCACACUGGCCACAUUCAUUCCGCUCGUUCUUCCCGUCCAUCAGACUUCUUCAUUUACAAGCCCUUUCUCCGGUGUACAGUGUUGAAACCGGGAUACAGUACACUUGAUUUCAAAAUAUAUAUUCCUUUUUGGGUUUGCAAGCAUGAGUUAAGGGUCUGCAAUUAAACUUAUUUUCCAGUACUGGCUCUGAUCGUAAAUAUCUCUGUUUAACUUGUACAUCUGCGCUGACAUUUUAGAGUGAGAUUUAUAAGGCUGCUGUCAGCUGUGUUCCACCAUUUCACUGAUGCAGGCAGUCUGUUUGUGGAAAUGUUACCUUCACCUUGCAAAAUGUUGACACUGGAUCUUUUAUGAUUUGGUCAGUAUAUAUUACAGAAUCUCUCUCA